CGUGCCAAAACCUGGAGAAUAAUAAUAAUAAUAAUAAUAAAUAGAAGAAUUUUGGUGUGUAAAACAUGAGUGAAUGUUUUGCAGCAUUCACACAAUAAUAUAUUUCAUGAUUUUAACACUGAAAGUUUACAUGAUGACAUCAUCCCCAAUGACUUUAGCAUGUUAACGUGUGUAAACAGUACCUUCACAUGCAAUAUGAUAAGCGGACUAACACCUAGUUACUCCUCAGCGGGCUCAGAGUCGGGACCCUCGUCCUGGAGGCCGGCCGUGUGGUGGGCGUCAGAGGUGGGCGUGUCGGACGCUCCCUGAGACAGCUCUUCGGAACACCUGCUGGCGGCGGGCGAGACCACGUCCGGGCUGGUGUCGCAGGAGUCUGUGCUCUGACCCGAGAUUCUGACUCUUCUCCAGGAGGAGCUGGUUUGUACGCAACUUGAAAGCUAGCAGCGUCCCCAGGAAGAAGUGGGAUGUAUUGCAUUGUGGACUUCAAAGUAAAAGCUGCUUGCUGCUGGUGGUGGAAGAAGGCGACUCCUUCGUGUAAGUGCUUCUUGGAAAAGGAGCAACCUUUUCUUCUUCUUCCGAGAUGAUUACCAGACUUUGUCGGACAUGGUGGCAGCGCUCUGGCCGCAGGCGGGCGACUCCUUGGCCGGCUGGUCGGGCGGGGGCGACAUCCGACUGACGGCCACCUGGGUGGGGUCGGCCUCCGCCUCCUCCUCCUCCUCCUCCUCCUCUUCUUCGUCCUCGUCCUGCUGCUGCUUCUUGCAGGGUUUGAAGAGGUGCGGGUGGAUGAGCACCUCCCCGAAGCGACCCUUGUAGAUGAUUCCACAACACACCCGCUGUCUGCACCACACAAAGCACGAGUUAGCUUCAUGUCAACUAACACGUCAAGUCGACCUGUUUUUCCUGACCGGAAAGCUCCCACGAUUGAUUAAAAUAACAUUUCAUUCGAUUCACCAAUUCGUUUGUACACUUGUA